UCAGGAUGAACGCUAGCGACAGGCCUAACACAUGCAAGUCGAGGGGCAGCAGGGUAGCAAUACCGCUGGCGACCGGCGCACGGGUGAGUAACGCGUAUGUAACCUGCCCAUAAGUGGGGGAUAGCCCAGCGAAAGCUGGAUUAAUACCGCAUAACACCGAUUGAUGACAUCAAAUAUCGGUUAAAGAUUCAUUGCUUAUGGAUGGACAUGCGUCCGAUUAGCUAGUUGGCGGGGCAACGGCCCACCAAGGCGACGAUCGGUAGGGGUUCUGAGAGGAAGGUCCCCCCACAUUGGUACUGAGACACGGACCAAACUCCUACGGGAGGCAGCAGUGAGGAAUAUUGGUCAAUGGGCGGAAGCCUGAACCAGCCAAGUCGCGUGAAGGAUGAAGGUAUUUAAUGUAUUGUAAACUUCUUUAGCAGCAGAGUAAUAAGGGGGUCGUGACCUCCGAUGCAAGUAUGCUGAGAAUAAGCAUCGGCUAACUCCGUGCCAGCAGCAGC
rnacentral:rRNA from 1 species